rnacentral:rRNA from 1 species
GACAGAGGGUGCAAACGUUGUUCGGAAUUACUGGGCGUAAAGCGUGUGUAGGCGGCCACGUAAGUCGGAUGUGAAAGCCCCAGGCUCAACCUGGGAAGUGCACUCGAUACUGCGUGGCUUGAGUAUCGGAGAGGUUGGUGGAAUUCUCGGUGUAGAGGUGAAAUUCGUGGAUAUCGAGAGGAACACCGGUGGCGAAGGCGGCCAACUGGACGAAUACUGACGCUGAGACACGAAAGCGUGGGGAGCAAACAGG